rnacentral:rRNA from 1 species
ACCGUAGUUUGAUCCUGGCUCAGAACAACGCUGGCGGCAUGCCUAACACAUGCAAGUCGAACGAGACCUUCGGGUCUAGUGGCGCACGGGUGCGUAACGCGUGGGAAUCUGCCCUUCGGUUCGGAAUAACUCAGGGAAACUUGAGCUAAUACCGGAUAAUGACGUAAGUCCAAAGAUUUAUCGCCGAAGGAUGAGCCCGCGUAGGAUUAGCUUGUUGGUGGGGUAAUGGCCCACCAAGGCGACGAUCCUUAGCUGGUCUGAGAGGAUGAUCAGCCACACUGGGACUGAGACACGGCCCAGACUCCUACGGGAGGCAGCAGUGGGGAAUAUUGGACAAUGGGCGAAAGCCUGAUCCAGCAAUGCCGCGUGGGUGAUGAAGGCCUUCGGGUUGUAAAGCCCUGUCGGGAGGGACGAAUCAAUGACGGUACCUCCCAAGAAAGCACCGGCUAACUCCGUG